AUGCGUCAAAGCGUAACACAUGACCUAUAUCUGUUACAUUUGUUAGUUAAAUCAACGAAUAAAAAACAUACGUAAAACAUACGUGCAUAUAUAUAGUUAGUCAUGUUGAAAGGAGUGAAAAUAGGACUAUAUAGAUAUAUGAUGGACAUACCCAUGUCUGUUAAAUGAACUGUUAAUACCAAAAAUCACUAAUACUCCAUUUCACCAACAUCCUACCUUCCAGGUACCAAGACCAACACAAGGUACCUGGUACCCACUGAGUAACGUCUGUUCCGGUAUAGCUGCCAUGAUGAUUAGUGUGGUAUGGCGUCGUCCUCAGCAAGUAUGGUUGGUUGGUGGAAGAGUUUACAUCUACACUCACUGACGAGGUACCAAGACCAACACAAGGUACCUGGUACCCACUGAGUAACGUCUGUUCCGGUAUAGCUGCCAUGAUGAUUAGUGUGGUAUGGCGUCGUCCUCAGCAAGUAUGGUUGGUUGGUGGAAGAGUUUACAUCUACACUCACUGACGAGGUACCAAGACCAACACAAGGUACCUGGUACCCACUGAGUAACGUCUGUUCCGGUAUAGCUGCCAUGAUGAUU